GGGGUUUUAGUUUAAUAAAAAAAAUAUAUGUUUUGCAUACAUAAGAUAAUAACUCUA
rnacentral:tRNA from 1 species